rnacentral:rRNA from 1 species
CAGCCGCCGCGGUAAUACCGGCGGCCCGAGUGGCGGUCACUAUUAUUGGGCUUAAAGCGUCCGUAGCCGGGUUGGGAAGUCCUCCGGGAAAUCUGGCCGCUUAAAGGUCAGAAUGCCGGAGGAUACUCCCAGCCUAGGGAGCGGGAGAGGCCGAGGGUAUUCCCGGGGUAGGGGUGAAAUACUAUAAUCCCGGGAGGACCACCUGUGGCGAAGGCGCUCGGCUGGAACGCGUCCGACGGUGAGGGACGAAGGCCAGGGGAGCAAACCGGAUUAGAUACCCGGGUAGUCCUGGCUGUAAACGAUGCGGACUUUGUGUCGGACAAGCUAUGAGCUUGUCCGGUGCCGGAGGGAAACCGUUAAGUCCGCCGCCUGGGGAGUACGGCCGCAAGGCUGAAACUUAAAGGAAUUGGCGGG